rnacentral:tRNA from 3 species
GCGAGGGUGGCGGAAUUGGUAGACGCACUGGAUUUAGGUUCCAGCGCCGCAAGGCGUGUGAGUUCGAGUCUCAUCCCUCGCACCA